rnacentral:rRNA from 1 species
UAAAACGUAGGACGCAAGCGUUAUCCGGAUUUACUGGGCGUAAAGCGCGUGUAGGCGGUAUAGCAAGUCGGACGUGAAAGCUCCCGGCUCAACUGGGAGAGGUCGUUCGAAACUACUAUACUUGAGGACGGCAGAGGAGAGUGGAAUUCCGGGUGUAGUGGUGAAAUGCGUAGAUAUCCGGAGGAACACCAGUGGCGAAGGCGGCUCUCUGGGCCGAUCCUGACGCUAAGACGCGAAAGCUAGGGUAGCAAACGGGAUUAGAAACCCCGGUAGUCCUAGCCGUAAACGAUGGAGACUAGGUGUAGGGAGUCAGAACCUCUCUGUGCCGUAGCUAACGCAUUAAGUCUCCCGCCUGGGGAGUACGGCCGCAAGGCUA